GGUUCAAUUCUCCACUACUGAACACACUGCUAUCAUCAGCCCAACCGACUUUAUCGACUCUAGUCAAUCAAACGUUCAAUUCUCCACUAAUGAGCCAACUGCAAUCAUCAACCCAACAGACUUUAUCGACUCUAGUCAAUCAAACGGUUCAAUUUUCCACUACUGAACCCACUGCUAUCAUCAGCCCAACCGACUUUAUCGACUCUAGU